GCCUCUAUUUUUUUAUUUUAUUUUUAUUUUUUUAGUGGAACAGAUUCUCAUACAAUUCUAGUAUGAAUAUAUCCAAAAAAAUUAGAAGAAAGAGUCUUCUAAAAUGCCCAAGGAAUGUUCUCCAUAUUAGUCCAUACAGUCGUCCCAGUAUGCUUAGCCACAUUGAAGGUUAUCCAGUUGAUAGUACUAUUGCCCUCGUGGUAGAUGUGGCAUAUAUCGAAAGAGAUGCAGUUCCUCAUCAAGCACCAAAUAUCGUGAAGUAUAGGAUGUGCAUUCAUUUUGGAUGAAUAUCGUCGAAGCCAAACGAUCAUGGUAGCAGAGUUUCCUUCCACUACCAACC
rnacentral:lncRNA from 1 species